rnacentral:rRNA from 1 species
CCCCUAGUAACUGCGAGUGAAGCGGGAAAAGCUCAAAUUUAAAAUCUGGCAGUCUUUGGCUGUCCGAGUUGUAAUCUAGAGAAGUGUUAUCCGCGUUGGACCGUGUACAAGUCUCCUGGAAUGGAGCAUCAUAGAGGGUGAGAAUCCCGUCUUUGACAUGGACUACCAGUGCUUUGUGAUGCGCUCUCAAAGAGUCGAGUUGUUUGGGAAUGCAGCUCAAAAUGGGUGGUAAAUUCCAUCUAAAGCUAAAUAUUGGCGAGAGACCGAUAGCGAACAAGUACCGUGAGGGAAAGAUGAAAAGAACUUUGGAAAGAGAGUUAAACAGUACGUGAAAUUGCUGAAAGGGAAACGCUUGAAGUCAGUCGCGUUGGCUGGAAAUCAACCUUGCUUUUGCUGGGCGUACUUUCUAGUCAAUGGGUCAGCAUCAAUUUUGACCAUUGGAAAAAGUGUANGGGAAUGUGGCAUCUUCGGAUGUGUUAUAGCCCCUGCUCGCAUACAAUGGUUGGGAUUGAGGAAUUCAGCAGGGAAAAAA